AACGAACGCUGGCGGCAGGCUUAACACAUGCAAGUCGAACGCCCCGCAAGGGGAGUGGCAGACGGGUGAGUAACGCGUGGGAACAUACCCUUUUCUACGGAAUAGCUCUGGGAAACUGGAAUUAAUACCGUAUACGCCCUACGGGGGAAAGAUUUAUCGGAGAAGGAUUGGCCCGCGUUGGAUUAGCUAGUUGGUGGGGUAAAGGCCUACCAAGGCGACGAUCCAUAGCUGGUCUGAGAGGAUGAUCAGCCACAUUGGGACUGAGACACGGCCCAAACUCCUACGGGAGGCAGCAGUGGGGAAUAUUGGACAAUGGGCGCAAGCCUGAUCCAGCCAUGCCGCGUGAGUGAUGAAGGCCUUAGGGUUGUAAAGCUCUUUCACCGAUGAAGAUAAUGACGGUAGUCGGAGAAGAAGCCCCGGCUAACUUCGUG
rnacentral:rRNA from 1 species